ACCAGUGAUAGCCACAGAGCAGAUCUUAGUGGAGUCCUUGAAGAGGGCAUGGCCAUAGAUGCUGGGGAGUGGGAGACAUUUUAAGGGAGGAAACCUUGAUGGAGAAGAGGAUAAUGGAGGUGAAGACAAAGAACCAUGAUGAGGGAGUGAGUCAUGAUGGAAGACCAGAAUGCUCCCAGGGAAUAGCCAUAGAUUAUAGCCUGUAUCGAGGACAAGAAUAACCAAAGCCUUCCUAUGUCUGACAACCAAAGUUACAGUGUUGGAGCAGAGUGUUGUUUCAGAAGAGACUCAUAGCUUCAUCAGGCUUAGCAAUGAUGUCAAGCCUAAUCACAUCUGGGACUCAGGAAACCUCCUUUCCAGGCGUGGCAGUCAGAGUAUCUCAAGAUGAAGGAAAAAGCGUUUUCCCUUGAAUGCUGGCUGUUGUUUCAUCUUCUACUACUUAUAGGAAAUGAGAAACUCUCCAAGCCUAAGAAACCUCUUCAAC
ensembl:lncRNA